CUCUUCGUUUAUUGCUCAGCUUCACCAAUUAUUUACGAACAAUCUUCAACAGAAACGGGGAACAUUCCUGGUGAAAUGUCUACGAGUUCUCCAAGAUACAAAGACGAAAGUUUCUAUGGAAGUAAAGUAUUGGGUCGUAUAAGUUCAGCAGCACUGGCGUCUCUAGGUGGAUGAAUAGCAGAUUGCUUGAUAGGACUAUGAUUAUUUAUCAGUCAUAAUAUCUGGUCAAAAUAAUCGUGGAAUAACUAUGUUUUCUAUUGAUUCUCAAUGUAUAUGGAACAUAUUGAUAUAACGAAUGGAAUUAUUUGAAUAAAAUAUUCGAAAACAAUGUAA